rnacentral:miRNA from 9 species
CCUGCUUCAUCACUAUUUACUG